rnacentral:rRNA from 1 species
AACGAACGCUGGCGGCGUGGCUAAGACAUGCAAGUCGAACGGACUGCUCAAUUUAUUGGACAGUUAGUGGCGAAAGGGUUAGUAACGGGUAGGUAACGUACCCUGUGCUUUGGGAUAGCGUCGGUUGCUUCGGUAACCUUCCGAAAGGGGCGGUAAUACCAAAAAUAUCACUUGUUUAUAGACAGGUGAUCAAAGAUUUAUCGGCACAGGAGCGGCCUGCCUCCUAUCAGCUUGUUGGUGAGGUAACGGCUCACCAAGGCAACGACGGGUAGCGGGACUGAGAGGUUGGCCCGCAACAUCGGGACUGAGACACUGCCCGGACCUCCACGGAGGGCUGCAGUAACGAAUAUUGUGCAAUGGGCGAAAGCCUGACACAGCGACGCCGCGUGUAGGAGGAAGUCCUUCGGGAUGUAAACUACUGUCAGGGGGAAGAAAGUGCGUUUCGGCGCAUUGAUCCAACCCAAAGGAAGUCACGGCUAACUUCGUGCCAGCAGCCGCGGUAAGACGAAGGUGGCAAGCGUUGUUCGGUAUCACUGGGCUUAAAGCGUGUGUAGGCGGAAAAGUAAGCGUUUCGUGAAAGCCCCCGGCUUAACCGGGGAACUGCGCAAUGAACUGCUUUUCUUGAGGCAAGUAGGGGCGCAUGGAACUCUUGGUGGAGCGGUGGAAUGCGUAGAUAUCAAGAGGAACGCCAGUGGAGAAAUCGGUGCGCUGGGCUUGUCCUGACGCUGAGACACGAAAGCGUGGGUAGCGAACGGGAUUAGAUACCCCGGUAGUCCACGCCGUAAACGAUGCCUACUAGGUUGUGAAAGUUCUGACACUGGCACAGCCGAAGCAAAAGUGUUAAGUAGGCCGCCUGGGGAGACGGUCGCAAGGCU